rnacentral:lncRNA from 1 species
UUUUAGACCUCAACAUAAAGGAAUACAUUGAGCUCUGGGAAAAUUAACUAAGAAAAAGAAAUAUUGUCCUUUCUUCAAUCCGUAUUGAGGAAAAAACCGACUUGUUACACCUCGUACAUUUGUGUCCUGUUAUAUUCAUGCUUGUCUUUUAAUAUCAAGCAUGGUUGUGUAAUAAUCGUAGAAUUACUGUACAUUUACCACUUCAAAUAGGAAUUUUAAUCUGUUUGUAUACAAAUUUCAUUUAAAAGGUGAAAAUCCUGAAAAGUUACUAGUGGAUGCUUAUUUAAUUUUAAAUAUUUAAAAUUUACAGUAUAGUUUAUAUGUAGCAGUCUAGAUGGAUUCAUUUUUGUCAUUAUUCAGAGCUAAAUCUGAUCUGUAUCUAAAAUCUUCCAACAACUGUUUUGAUUAUCACGUUAAAAUAAAAAAAAAAAAAAAAACAAAAAAAAAAACAGUUGGCAUCGGGGUAUCAAGAGAAGCAUCUUUACCAUUGGAUAAACUAUAUCCCAGGAGUUGAACUAAAAACUGUUUUUUGUUGCUGUUGUUAAAUAACAUUAUUUACUUAUUUUUUUUAAAUUUCAGCUCACACAAAAAGAACUAUAUUCAAAUAGAUUACUUCCUUAAUAUUAGCUACUUGUAUAAGAAUUAGAUAAUCACAUGAAUAUUCAAGUUGAAUCAGGAAGGCAGUCCUCCAAUUAACCUUGUACUGAAUGCAAUUAUAAGGUGAAUAUUCAAAACCAAUGGAGAUAGUCAUUUAUACAUUGCAAGUGUUUUUAUGUCAAGAGUGGAAAAGCAAGGCUCUGAAAGUCUGAUGAUAAUACUUUGAAUAAGCUUUAAUUAAGAAGUAAUUUUUUUUCACAUCGGAACACUUCCUUCCUUGUUCAUACAAUUGAUAAGUUUUUUAGAGGGAUACUGUCUUUCUAACAUAAACUCUGCUGCCUAUACUGUGAACAAAACUGAACUGAUCAGAACUUAAAACUAUUGAUUGGCUGGCACCGCGGCUCACUAGGCUAAUCCUCCACCUGUGGCGCUGGCACCCCGGGGUUCUAGUCCCCAUUGCUCCUCUUCCAGUCCAGCUCUCUGCUGUGGCCCAGAAAGGCAGUGGAGGAAUGCCCAAGUGCUUGGGCCCUGCACCUGCAUGGGAGACUAGGAGGAAGCACCUGGGUCCUGGCUUCAGAUCGGCACAAGGUGCUGCCCAUAGCAGCCACUUAGGGGGUGAACCAACGGAAAAAGGAAGACCUCUCUCUCUCUCUCUCACUAACUAUGCCUGUCAAAAAAAAUAAAUAAAAACUAUUGAUCA